UACAGAGGUCUCAAGCGUUGUUCGGAUUCAUUGGGCGUAAAGGGUGCGUAGGCGGCGCGGUAAGUCGGGUGUGAAAUCUCGGAGCUUAACUCCGAAACUGCAUUCGAUACUGCCGUGCUUGAGGACUGGAGAGGAGACUGGAAUUUACGGUGUAGCGGUGAAAUGCGUAGAUAUCGUAAGGAAGACCAGGGGAGAAGGCGGGUCUCUGGACAGUUCCUGACGCUGAGGCACGAAGGUCAGGGGAGCAAACGGG
rnacentral:rRNA from 1 species